AGAGUUUGAUCAUGGCUCAGGAUGAACGCUAGCUACAGGCUUAACACAUGCAAGUCGCGGGGCAGCAUUUCUUUAGCUUGCUAAGGAAGAUGGCGACCGGCGCACGGGUGAGUAACGCGUAUCCAACCUGCCCUUGUCCACGGGAUAACCCGGUGAAAACCGGCCUAAUACCGUAUGAGGUCACAAGCGGACAUCCAACUGUGACGAAAGGUUUAGCGGACAAGGAUGGGGAUGCGUCCGAUUAGCUUGACGGCGGGGUAACGGCCCACCGUGGCGACGAUCGGUAGGGGUUCUGAGAGGAAGGUCCCCCACAUUGGAACUGAGACACGGUCCAAACUCCUACGGGGGGCAGCAGUGAGGAAUAUUGGUCAAUGGACGGGAGUCUGAACCAGCCAAGUAGCGUGCAGGAUGACGGCCCUAUGGGUUGUAAACUGCUUUUGUGCGGGGAUAAAGUGUGGGACGUGUCCCAUAUUGCAGGUACCGCAUGAAUAAGGACCGGCUAAUUCCGUGCCAGCAGCCGCGGUAAUACGGAAGGUCCGGGCGUUAUCCGGAUUUAUUGGGUUUAAAGGGAGCGUAGGCCGGAGAUUAAGCGUGUUGUGAAAUGCCGCGGCUCAACCGUGGCACUGCAGCGCGAACUGGUUUUCUUGAGUGCGCGCGACGCAGGCGGAACUCGUGGUGUAGCGGUGAAAUGCUUAGAUAUCACGAGGAACCCCGAUUGCGAAGGUAGCUUGCGGGAGCGCAACUGACGCUGAAGCUCGAAGGUGCGGGUAUCGAACGGGAUUAGAUACCCUGGUAGUCCGCACGGUAAACGAUGGAUGCCCGCUGUUCCGGCAUUAGCUGGAGUGGCC
rnacentral:rRNA from 1 species